GCUGUGAUGGCCGAGUGGUUAAGGCUUUGAAAUCCAAUGGGGUUUCGGCGCGCAGGUUAGAACACAGCUCUCAGCG